rnacentral:rRNA from 1 species
UUAGUUCGUGGAGUGAUCUGUCUGCUUAAUUGCGUUUCACUAAGGGCUUAUAAUUUUAACGUGUGUUGUCAGUACUUUGACCCCAACUUUGAAAUAUAAGUUGUGAGUGUCUUAGUUUGCUUGACUCGCACAAAUGAGUCCUGAAAGCAACGAACGUGACCGCAACCUCUUGUUGCCUUUCAACCAAAGUUCAUUUUUACAUUUUAGCCUUGUGUUAAUUUUGUAAUUUAUGACAAAAAAAGGCUUUUAAACUAGAGGGACCGCUGUAAUCUUUUUAAACCAGAGGAAGGUUGCGGCAAUAACAGGUCU